rnacentral:lncRNA from 1 species
GCGUGAAUCGAAAACGAUAUAUAGAUAAUGUCAUAAAGAAGAAUAAGAAAAGGACAGAAUGUAGAUAUAUAUAGCAUAAGUAAAUAGCCACUAGUCGCGGCUCGCGAAGUUUAGACUAGCUAGGGUACAUAACAAAAGUAGUUUGACAACAUUAGGUCCUACCUCUCCCAUUUAUAUGCAUAAAGGUCUCUAUAGGCAAGUUCCAAAAGAGAUUGAUACAUGAUAUAAGUUUUUCAAAAUAAAGGUGGAGAGAUUCUAAACAAAAUAUAAGUCAGAGAAUACAAAGAUCUUCACCAUCUCUCAUAUGAACCACAGCUCACUCCUGAGUACCUGGACCUGCAUCUGAAAAACAAGAGAUAUAUAUGGAAUGAGAACUCCCGACCUAUGGGUUUCCAGUAUGGUAAAAGUGCCAAAUAAAUAUGUAAAUAAAUAUGUAAACCAAAUCAUUUUCUAACAUAGAGUCAUUUCUCAAAAUAAGCUUGUAAAUCAAGUUUCUAAAAUGAAAUCAUUUUUUCGUAUAUUUUUACAAGAAAUUGGCCAGCAUCUCCUCUUAAAAUUGGACUUCACCACCCUUGCGGGCUCCCUCAAUUUCAUAACUUCCCAAUAAUCAGCAUAUUUAUCACCAUACAAUUAUAUUCUUUGUAAAAUCAUUUAUAGAUCUUCAAAGCUAAUACUUUUAGUUAAAGAAUUCAUUUUUAAGAACUCAAUUUGAAAAUCCAAACUCAAAUCUUUUCAUAAUUCAAUAAACUUCCAUUUCAUAAAUUACUCAUUAGAAUUUGAUUCAGCAACCAAUUAAAACGCUAUUAAGUAGAAACCAAAACUUUCAAAAAGCAUUCAAUGAUUUCAAUCUCAAACAACCUUAUAAGUAUUAAACGAAUUUUCAAUUCAGACGCACAUAAUCAUCAUCAUACUAACACCAAAAUAAAUUAUCGUUCACUUUCACAACCAAAACCUCAAUCAGAAUCAUAGCUAAUCAUUCACAGCCAAGAAUCCAAAUUCAAUAACAUUAAAUUGUUAACAUAUUUGCAAUUAUCUACGAUACUUUUAGGCAUUCUUAAAUUAAAACUUUUAAUUUUAAAAAUGAACCCCUACCUCGAUUAGCCAAAAUCACAAAUUGAAUACGACAGCCCCCAUUUUGUUUUUAAUUUCAGCAGUAGUGACAAUCCUAAUGCAACCAGGGACAGUGGCAGCUGCAUCAACUGGAAUAGCAGCAGCUUCAAUUCUGCGGCGAUGAUGGUUGCAGCAAAAUAGAGAAUUCAAACUGAAUAAGAAUAAAAAACAAACAACCCUGGGAAAUUUAAAACAGGGCAUAUACUAGAAUCAAAUCAGACUAAGCGUGACAGUGACAAUAAAACGUCUAAAUGGACCGUAAUCAAGGAAAAGAGCAAUCCAGAAUUAAAGUAGCAAUUUCAAAUUCAUCAACAGCAGCUCUAACAAUUCCUUAAUAGCAUCAACACUAUCACCUAUGAUAGUUUCAGCAGUAAACAGGGAAAGCAGAGUAGCAGUAUUAAACAGAGAUGUAGGUUUCCUUACUUAGAACAGAAGAAAGACAAAGGAACAAGAUGGAAGCAAAGCAAUGAUUAAAUAAGGCCUGACGGCAACGAUUUUGACCCCACUUAGCGACAGCGGCGGCGGCGGAUCUGAACGGCGCGAGAACGGACCUCGUCCUUCUCCUUGUCGCAUUUCUGCUCCUCUUUCCCCUGCGUCUCUCUCUCGCAUUUCACUUUCCUCUACCCUAAUCGAUGUCGACGGCGGUGAUGAAAGCUUCGGCGGCACGUCAGUGGCGAUGGAGGCACAGCAACGAUGAGGCGUCCCCUCCUUCUCGUGUGACACUCCCUCUGGUUCUCCCUCUCUCAGCCGCGGCUCUUGCUCCUUCUCCAAGUGACUCGACGGCAGCGGCGGCACCAAGCCCCGCGGUGCCGUUGGUCCCUUUCUCUUCUCCCUGUCCUCUGUCUCUCUCCCUGUUCUCUGUUCCCCACUCGAGCUCCCUCUUCUCCCUUUUCUUUCCCUUUCUGCUUCUGUACGUGUGGGAAGCGAGAGUGAGGGACAUGAGUGUGAGUGCGUUGGUGAGGCUAAGAGUGAGUGAAGCGAGUCUAUGUGUGUAUAUCUGGGAAGAGGAAGGUAGUGGGUGAGGUGGUGGGUUAGUAAGGAGAAACUGAGCGUGGCUCAGUGAAGGGUGAACAGGUGGGGGGUAUACGUGUGGGUGAAUUGGGUAAUGGAGUU